rnacentral:rRNA from 1 species
GACGAACGCUGGCGGCGCGCCUAACACAUGCAAGUCGAACGGAGUCACGAGGAGCUUGCUUUUCUUGACUUAGUGGCGAACGGGUGAGUAACGCGUGAGUAACCUGCCCUGGAGUGGGGGACAACAGUUGGAAACGACUGCUAAUACCGCAUAAGCCCACGGAUCCGCAUGGAUCUGCGGGAAAAGGAUUUAUUCGCUUCAGGAUGGACGCGCAUCCAAUUAGCUAGUUGGUGAGGUAACGGCCCACCAAGGCGACGAUUGGUAGCCGGACUGAGAGGUUGGACGGCCACAUUGGGACUGAGACACGGCCCAGACUCCUACGGGAGGCAGCAGUGGGGGAUAUUGCACAAUGGGGGAAACCCUGAUGCAGCGACGCCGCGUGGAGGAAGAAGGUUUUCGGAUUGUAAACUCCUGUCGUUAGGGACGAUAAUGACGGUACCUAACAAGAAAGCACCGGCUAACUACGUG